CCGGAGCCAGGCCGUCUCCAGCCCGGGGAAAACUGUCCCUGGCCGGCUGCUGCCCUGGCCUGCCGGCGGGGCCGGGCAAGGGGCUCCCGGCCUCCCGGCACAGCCGCGGCACUGGGGGUCUCCAGGCCCCCGGGAGGCCCUCCCUAGGAUGCCCUCCCGGCGGCCUCAGCAUUCGCGGCCUCAGCGCCCUCUCUCCCCUACGUCUCUCAGAAAGGCUGCCUGACGACAGGCCUGCUCGGGGAGGCCUUGUCGCCGCCCUGACUCGUGCAGCCCUUACGUCGGAAUUAGUCGUGGCCACAAAUACACAAUCACAGAGCUGAAGGUGGCCCGGGAGACGUCUUAGGCGGGUGGUCUCAUUGUGCGCAUGGAGGAAACAAGGAAGACGGGGACAGGGGGAUGGGAAGAGGUUCAGUUCUCAGGGCAAGUCAUAGACAGCACAGGGGCCCCCUCCCUGCCCGGGGUCGCAUGCUGGUAACCACGCUGAGCUAGAGGCCCAGCCCAGAGGGUUGGUCAGAGCCCCCUGAGGUCCUGAGCCCUUUCUGCCCUUCGUCAUCACCCUCCGCUCUCUUUCCCUUGUCCUUCUUCCCUCCUUAAGAUCUCUCUAGCCUCACUUUCUCUCUGUCCCCAUCUCCCUCUGCCCCGCCCCUCCUUCUGCUUGUCUAGGGAGACCUGGGCUGCGUGUGCGGGCGCGCGUGUGUUUCCUGCCUUUGGCCGGGGAAGGAUGUUCCUCCUCUGAAUCUCUCCCUCAGCAUCCAGCCCCCGGUAGAUGACAAGUUACCCAACUGUUGAGUCUGAAGCGUCAGAGCCAGGGGCCACGUGACCCUGACCUGCAUGCACCCCGUUCUUCUCCCCUACCACACCCCUCCCAGGCUUCUCUACCCUGCUAGGAAUCUUCUCUGUGUUCUUCUGAUGGUCCACUGCCCUCCAGCUAAACACAUUUCCCCCAGUGGCUGUCACACUGCCUGAUCUCUCACCAUUAUUUCCGUAGAUUCCUGGUGAAUGCAACUCUACAGGGUUUGGUCAACUCUCUUCUGUUGCUGCCUUCACUCAGGUUUCGUGCCUCAAAUCUGAUCUGGGCUGUGGACCUCGAGGUUGCCUGUGUCCCGAGGAAAGGGAAUCUCCGGCCUCAGCAACUGGAUGGGGAGAAUAACUUUGGGAGACUUCCAGGUUCCUGCGUGGUCACCUGCGGUCCCCUUGAGGCCAGCCCUGCUGUGCACGGACCUAUAGAGCAUAAGUCUCUAGGGUGAUGCAGAGGGCUCCCCUAUGGGCAGACCUGAUAAGAGUGUAGGAGAUAGGAAAGGGGUCCAGUCCGUGAGGAACCAGCUACGUUGGCCUGGGAAGUAGUGCUUGUGUGUUAACCAUCGGCCCCGUGUCCACUGUCCUCUCUACGCUGGGCGGUACGUCGUCCCAUCCAAGCCUUUCAUUCACUCCUCACAGAGACUCUCUGCAGCAGAAGUGACCGACCUGGGUUUGGAGACAGGAAGGUGAGACCCAGUUUCUGAGACCUGCUCAGGGCGACCAGCCAUGGACCAGAAAACUCAGCUCUAUUCGACAGAGAAACUCACCUCUCUUUCCCGAUUCAUCCUCCCCCCCCCCCCCAGAUUUCGGGGUGUCUCUUCUAAACUGUGACCUUCAGAACCAGUUGCCAGUGGCGAAGUCAACAAAGGUGUCCUUAAUGACUCCAGUCCACAACCACCCCAGGCUGCCCCAUCCCUUUCUGGCAACCAAGAGCAGCCUCCUGCCUCUAAGCCUCCACGUCGGCCUGUCGCUAGCUCAUUUCUCAGGUAACUGCUAGGAGAAGAAUCCUAAAAGGCACAUUGCUGAGAAAUGAAAUGGAAUAAAAUAAUAAUGGAAAGAAAGAUGAAGGCAUGAAAGAUAAUAGCGACCCAGCACGUUUGAUGUGACCCCCACUUACGGGAAAUCAUAUAGGUGAGCACAUCUAUGUCUAAGAACAUUGAGAUGCAUGGAGAGAGACAGAGACAGACAGAGACAGAGAUUUAGGCUUAUGUCUCGUGUCGUGGAUGCCAUUGAUGUGUAGUCAGGCACUAAGUUCACCUGAGGAACAAGCCAAACAUGAUUCUUUUCCAGUUG